GACGUAGGGCGCGAGCGUUGUCCGGAUUUAUUGGGCGUAAAGAGCUCGUAGGCGGCUUGUCGCGUCGACUGUGAAAACCCAUGGCCCAACCAUGCGGUCUGCAGUCGAUACGGGCAGGCUAGAAUUCGGUAGGGGAGACUGGAAUUCCUGGUGUAGCGGUGAAAUGCGCAGAUAUCAGGAGGAACACCGGUGGCGAAGGCGGGUCUCUGGGCCGAUAUUGACGCUGAGGCGCGAAAGCGUGGGGAGCAAACAGG
rnacentral:rRNA from 1 species